rnacentral:sRNA from 1 species
GUCGAGGCUGUAUGGCUCGACGACGGGCGGCGCCGUUGGGCGGCGCACCUUGUACCCAUGUUGCUUCAAGGAGAAUGUGGCUAUGAGAA